GUUGUAUGGUUAAGUGACUAAGCGUACACGGUGGAUGCCUUGGCAGUUGGAGGCGAUGAAGGACGUACUAACUUGCGAUAAGCCUAGUCAAGCCAGUAAGAGGCGCUUGAGACUAGGAUUUCCGAAUGGGGAAACCCGGCCCUUUGGGUCAUCGUUAACUGAAUACAUAGGUUAACGAAGCGAACGCGGAGAACUGAAACAUCUAAGUACCCGUAGGAAAAGAAAUCAACCGAGAUUCCGAAAGUAGCGGCGAGCGAAAUCGGAUUAGCCCUUAAGCUUUAAUGUAGUUAGUGGAACAUUCUGGAAAGUAUGACGAUACAGGGUGACAGUCCCGUACACGACAACUUAUUUAAAGUGAAAUCGAGUAGGUCGGAGCACGUGAAACUUUGACUGAAUAUGGGGGGACCAUCCUCCAAGGCUAAAUACUCCCAACUGACCGAUAGUGAACCAGUACCGUGAGGGAAAGGCGAAAAGAACCCCUGUGAGGGGAGUGAAAUAGAACCUGAAACCGUGUACGUACAAGCAGUAGGAGCAUACUUGUUAUGUGACUGCGUACCUUUUGUAUAAUGGGUCAGCGACUUAUAUUCUGUAGCGAGGUUAACCAUUUAGGGGAGCCGUAGCGAAAGCGAGUCUUAACUGGGCGCUUAAGUU
rnacentral:rRNA from 1 species